GACGAACGCUGGCGGCGUGCUUAACACAUGCAAGUCGAGCGGUAAGGCCCUUUCGGGGGUACACGAGCGGCGAACGGGUGAGUAACACGUGGGUGACCUGCCCUCAGCUCUGGGAUAAGCCCGGGAAACUGGGUCUAAUACCGGAUAUGACUCCAUGACGCAUGUUGUGGGGUGGAAAGCCCUGUGCGGCUGAGGAUGGGCCCGCGGCCUAUCAGCUUGUUGGUGGGGUGAGGCCUACCAAGGCGACGACGGUAGCCGGCCUGAGAGGGCGACCGGCCACACUGGGACUGAGAUACGGCCCAGACUCCUACGGGAGGCAGCAGUGGGGAAUCUUGCGCAAUGGGCGAAAGCCUGACGCAGCGACGCCGCGUGAGGGAUGACGGCCU
rnacentral:rRNA from 1 species